UGGGGAAUCUUGCGCAAUGGGCGAAAGCCUGACGCAGCAACGCCGCGUGGGGGAUGACGGCCUUCGGGUUGUAAACCUCUUUCGACACCGACGAAGCCAUCUUCGGGUGGUGACGGUAGGUGUAGAAGAAGCACCGGCUAACUACGUGCCAGCAGCCGCGGUAAUACGUAGGGUGCGAGCGUUGUCCGGAUUUAUUGGGCGUAAAGAGCUCGUAGGCGGUUUGUCGCGUCUAUCGUGAAAACCGGGAGCUUAACUCCUGGCUUGCGGUGGAUACGGGCAGACUUGAGUUCGGUAGGGGAGACUGGAAUUCCUGGUGUAGCGGUGAAAUGCGCAGAUAUCAGGAGGAACACCGGUGGCGAAGGCGGGUCUCUGGGCCGAUACUGACGCUGAGGAGCGAAAGCGUGGGGAGCGAACA
rnacentral:rRNA from 1 species